AUAGUGGCGUCCAGUUCCGUAGAUGAAAUUGAAGAAGAAACAGAGGACAAAAAUUUCAGAUUGGGCUCAGUUCCAAUGGUUUCUGGGACUCAAGUUUACUGGUCUUGUGUACAUAGGAUUUUUUUUUCUAUUUUAAUUAAUUACUUUUUUUUCAUACGUACUCCAUUGAAUUCUCCGUUCUAACUCUAUUUUUCUAUUUAGACAGUAUAUUUUAUAUUUUAUUUUAUGCUUUUUUUUACACACACACACUCCAACACACUUUCCUUAAAAACUAAUAAAAUAGUGAGUAAAGAAAAUUUAUUGAGAUAUUAUAGCAAUGUUAACAAUCGAUUGUUUCAGCUAAUCUAAUGCAUUGUGUUGUUUUAGGGUUUUCGUUUCAUGAGCUAAUCUAACUAAAAUUCACGAACUAAUUUAACUAAAGUUGUAGUUUGACUAGGCUAGCUGCUCCAACUUGAUUUGGACUAUUGGACUCCAGUUUUGCUGGUGGAAAAUCUUGCAUAGGCUGCUGGUGUUGGUGGUUCAAAAAGUUUAAGGGCUAUGGUCGGUAUUUUAUGGGUGUAUGAAAUUAAAAGAAUUUAAAAUAUGUUGGCAGGUGUACGGAGAAAAUGUGGUUAGAUACACAAAUUCUGGGUUCAAAAUAGAAUCACCCGAUAACAAUGGACGGACAAAGUGGAAGAAGAUGAGAAUAGUGUAUUGAAUUAGAUCUAAGAUUGUCUCUUUCAUUUUUUUCCUCCGUACUAGUAAUUUUAGUUGAAGAGUACUCUGUAGAUAAAGUAUUUAACCAACAUUAUGACUGAGCUCUACCAUGCACUAUCAUUGGAUUGUCGCUCUAUAGCAAGUCUGGAUAGCUACCUCAGCAUGGUAGUUUGGACGACAAGCACAAUAACCAUCAUGGCGGAGCCGCUUGACUGAGCUUCGGGGCAAAUGUUAGUUUACAAGAUAAGUCUCUCUCUUCUUAUCUUCUCCGGUCACUGACUUGAUCAUCGGAGAACCGUUCCCGGAACAGUUCUAAGCGGUUCUUCUCACGUUUGUAAGCUUGUAGGCUCGGCUGUGCAGAGUCCAGUCACUGGAAACUUUCUCGCGCCUCCGCUUGUAUGCACUCGAUUUUUUUUCACCUUGUUAGUACUAUAAUAGUAAUUUUAGUUGAGAGUAUAAUUGUAAUAAAAAGUUUAUCAUAUCCUAAUACAACUUCGGUUUCCAUUUUGAAGCUCCAUUAAUAAACUGCGUAGAUUUACACAUUUGCCCUUAUUCAAAACUAUAAUCCCUGUUAUUCCUCUAUUUCUUUAUGAUCUACUCCUCUCACUUCCUAACCCAUCAUCACCGUUCCCACACAAGUAACACAGUACAGGAAACUUAUAAAAAUGGGUUGCGUGAUAAAUUUUCAUUCGCACGUUGAUAUCACGUGGUAAUGAUAAUAUGAUAUUAUCAAUCAAUAAUAUAUUUAUAUUGGAUAAUGUAAUUAACUAAUGUAAAAAUUCAAUAAUUGCUAUAUUUAUGCGGGGUUAAUUAGUGGAGUUUUUGUAAAUUGAAUUGUGAUACACGUGUUAACGAUGAACACUUUUGACAAUUUUUUGUACAAAUGACAACCAAAUAUUAAUUUUGUUGUGGGAACAUCAAUAUUAUCAAGUUCCAUAAUGUUAGAGCAUCUCCAACAGAUGCCCCCACCCUCAUUUUUAUUCUAUUAUAGAGAGAGACUCAAAAAAAUGCACUCCAAUAAACUCUUGUAUACCAUCUUUAAAAAGUAACAAGUGCCACACUUAUUCAAACCCCUAAACAUUAAUUUUUUUCCCUAUCAUCUCUUCUCUCUAUCCUCUUUAAUGCUUGUCAAGCCAAUAUUUUAAAAUGUUAAAUAAAAUUGAAAAAAAAAAUUAUUUAAAUAAUUUAGAAAAAAAAACUAAGGAGCAUUGUUGAAGAAGAAAAUAAAAAAGGUCCCCUAAAUCUAAGAAAUCCUUUUUUAAUAAAAUGUGAGGUAUAAAUAGAAAAUAUUGUUGAAAAUACAAGCAUCUCUUUCUACAUUUUUUCUAUAUUUUAAGAAAGGGUGAAAUACAUUGAUCACACACUUGAGGAACUGGGUUAAUACAUAAAGCACAGUUAACGUUUGAAAAAUGACAGUAACCUCCCCUGAGCUUUGAAACUUGUAAUAGAUUUUUUUUAUUUUAUACUAACUACCCCUGAGGUUCCAGGUUAAUACACAAAGUACCCUUGACGUCAAUCGUCUGUUAGGAAGAUUGACUGUCCAUCCAUAACGCCAGCUGAAUAGUGGUUGAAAUAUCAUAUAUGUUUUUUUUUUUGACAAAGUUACUAUAUCCCUACAAGAAUAUUGAUUGAAUGACCAAAAAGUAAGAAUCUUCAAACUCACGGGAUUCUUUUUUUUAUUAUAUUCUCCAACAAUGCUCCUUAGAUUUUCUCUACAUAAAAUAAUUUUUUUUAUUCUUUUUAAAUUUUAUUUUACCAUUUAAAAAUCAUUGACUUGACAAGAUAUGAAAAAAAGGAGAGAGGA
rnacentral:lncRNA from 1 species